GACAGAACGCCCAAGCGUUACCCGGAAUUAUUGGGCGUAAAGCGUCCGUAGGUGGCGUGAUUAGUCUCUUGUUAAAGCUCCCGGCUCAACCGGGAAACAGCAGGGGAAACGGUCAUGCUUGAGGGCGGCAGAGGUUACUGGAACGGUCGGUGUAGGGGUGAAAUCCGUUGAUAUCGACCGGAACACCAAAGGCGAAGGCAUGUAACUGGGCCGGCCCUGACACUCAGAGGACGAAAGCGUGGGGAGCAAAAAGG
rnacentral:rRNA from 1 species